rnacentral:rRNA from 1 species
UACAGAGGUCUCAAGCGUUGUUCGGAUUCAUUGGGCGUAAAGGGUGUGUAGGUGGCGCGCUAAGUCGGGUGUGAAAUUUCGGAGCUUAACUCCGAAACUGCAUUCGAUACUGGCGUGCUUGAGGACUGGAGAGGAGACUGGAAUUCAUGGUGUAGCAGUGAAAUGCGUAGAGAUCAUGAGGAAGACCAGUGGCGAAGGCGGGUCUCUGGACAGUUCCUGACGCUGAGGCACGAAGGCCAGGGGAGCGAACAGG